rnacentral:lncRNA from 1 species
GUGAGGACUCAGGAAACUUACAAUCGUGGCAAAAGAGAAAGCAAAUGCAUCCUUCUUCACAUGGCAGCAGGAAGGAGAAGAAUGAAAGUCAAGUGAAAGGGGAAACCCAUUAUAAAACCAUGAGAUCUUGUGAGAUCCUGCUCACUAUCACAAGAAUACCACGGGGGAAGUCACCUCCAUGAUUCAAUUACAUCCCACUGGGUCCCUCCCACCACAUGUGGGGAUUAUGGAAACUACAAAUCAAGUUGUGAAAGGUGGCAUCUGCAUUUUUCUCAAACUAGAGAAAAAAUAGUCAAUAUUUCACAAUUAAAAAUGACAUUAUUUGUAGAAUUUGUCAUAGUUGCUUUUUACUUGAUUGAAGAAAUACCAUCCUAAUUGUAAUUAACUUAUAAAUUUUGUCAUGAAUGGAUGAUUACUGAGUUGAGUUGAUUAUAUGGUUUACUCCUUCAUACAGCUCAUGUGUUAAAUACUCUAACUGGUCUUGAAAUGUUAACUAGCUUUAAAUUCCUGAGAUAUAUUACUGAAUUAAAUUUAAAGUGCCUGUAUUUAUGAGAAAUAUCAGUUUAUAAUUUAUCUUUUUUUCAAUGUCUUUGUGAGGUUGUUACAUCAGAGAAACACUGAUCUUAUAAAACAAAUUAGUGUUUCCACAUCAUUUUUAUUUGUGAUUUGUAGGUACAUUUCAAAAUAACUAACAUUCUCUAAAUGGUAUAUUACCCAAAAAUGGAAAAAACUUCUCCAUUAAUUUAGGUGUUAUAUGUUUUAAUAAAUCUUAAUUGCACUUCUUAGAAAGUCCAGCACUCUUUUUGUUAAAUUUAGGUUUAUUUACUUAUAUUGUCUAAUGUUGUUUUAAAUGAGAUUUUAUUUUAAAUAAUUUUUGGUUGGUGGUUGCUGAUAUAAAGAUAUGCAUUUGAACUUUCUAUAUUAUCCUUAUGUUCUGCUUGCUAGAUAAACUUUACAAUAAUAUGUAAUAAUGUGUCUAAAUAGUUUUCUAAGUAAAUAGUCAUAUAUUUUACAAACAUGGCAGUUUUAUUUCUUUAUUUUAAAUCCCCCUGCAUCAAAUUCUUUUCAUCAUAUUAUUGUGCAUGCCAGGGCUUCCAAAAUAUGUAUUAUUUGAAAUUGUGAAAAUGUGCUUCCUUGUGUUGUGUUUUUUAUUUUAAAUGAAAAUCUCUCUACAUUUACACAUUUAGAAUAAUACAUAUUGCUUUUUAAAAAAUAUAUUAGAUACAGAAACACACUUUCCUAUUUUUUAAUAUACUGAGCAUUUUUAUCACAAAUUUAUGAUAAAAUGUUUCAAAUACAUACUUUGCAUCUGUUUAAAU